rnacentral:rRNA from 1 species
UACGGAGGGUGCAAGCGUUGUCCGGAAUCACUGGGCGUAAAGGGCGCGUAGGCGGCUCAUGAAGGCUGUGGUGAAAGUCCGGGGCUCAACCUCGGAUCGGCCGUGGCGACUCGUGGGCUGGAGCACUGUAGAGGCGGGUGGAAUUCCGGGUGUAGCGGUGGAAUGCGUAGAGAUCCGGAGGAACACCGAUGGCGAAGGCAAUCCCCUGGGCCUGCACUGACGCUCAUGCACGAAAGCGUGGGGAGCAAACAGG